rnacentral:rRNA from 1 species
CGCAGCCGCGGUAAUUCCAGCUCCAAUAGCGUAUAUUAAAGUUGUUGCAGUUAAAAAGCUCGUAGUUGAAUUUCGGGACCAAUCUGCCGUCGUGCCUCCGGUACGCACUGGUUUUAUUGGUCUCUCCCUUCUGACGAACCAUGAUGUCAUUAAUUUGGUGUCAUGGGGAAUCAGGACUGUUACUUUGAAAAAAUUAGAGUGUUUAUAGCAGGCUCACGCUUGAAUACACUAGCAUGGAAUAAUGAAAUAGGACGUUUGACCCUAUUUUGUUGGUUUCUAGGAUCGACGUAAUGAUUAAUAGGGAUAGUUGGGGGCAUUAGUAUUCAAUUGUCAGAGGUGAAAUUCUUGGAUUUAUUGAAGACUAACUACUGCGAAAGCAUUUGCCAAGGAUGUUUUCAUUAAUCAAGAACGAAAGUUAGGGGAUCGAAGACGAUCAGAUACCGUCGUAGUCUUAACCAUAAACUAUGCCGACUAGGGAUCGGAUGAUGUUAAUUUUUUAAUGACUCAUUCGGCGCCUUAC